AACGUAGGAGGCGAGCGUUAUCCGGAUUUACUGGGCGUAAAGCGCGCGCAGGUGGCUUCGUUAGUCGGACAUGAAAGCUCCUGGCUUAACUGGGAGAGGCUGUUCGAUACUGCGGGGCUUGAGGUUGGGAGAGGGACGCGGAAUUCCCGGUGUAGUGGUGGAAUGCGUAGAUAUCGGGAGGAACACCAGUGGCGCAAGCGGCGUCCUGGCCCACACCUGACGCUGAGGUGCGAAAGCGUGGGUAGCAAACAGG
rnacentral:rRNA from 2 species